GGUUGUGGCUUAGUGGUAGAAUGCUUGUCUAGCACAUGUGAGGCACUGGGUUCAAUCCCCAGCACCA
rnacentral:tRNA from 1 species